GCCACUCAGUUCACAUUGAGGACUGGUCAAACAGCAUUUCUGAUCCCGUUUCUGACCUGAAAUUAGCUGAAAUGUACCUGAAAUUACCUGAAAUUAGAGUGUGCCCGCCCGAGCGAGUGAUGCCUAAAACAUGCAAACAAAACUGAAGACCAGGAACUGGAACCUGGGAACCUGAAAGAUGAUGUUGUCCUGAAAGACACAAUUCAGGCAGCAGCAUGGUGCCAGUUACAGUCCUUCAAGGACAGCGUUUCUCUCCCAGAGGUCAUUGGGAUGGAAGGUUGGGAGCAGAUGGCAGCAUCAACACAGCGCAAAUCCCAUGACGGCGGGGAUGAGGAAGAAACGUGGAAACCAUUCCAAUUCUCAUUCAGAUUACAUACUGACUAUGAACUGUUCUGUGUGGAGAUGAUGGACAGGAGAAACCUGAAGGUGUUUGCCUCUUUUGAGUCAAACACCUCUCCCCCUCCCCGUGACGCCUGAGCCACACGACUCCAAUGUAGUCUGAUGAUGCAGCAUAAUGGCAGCGCUUGGCAGCUAUGGCGGCGGUGACGGCGAUGUCGGGCGACAGAGAGUGAAGCGAGAGUGGCGUCCACCUCACUGAGGAAGGCGUCAGUGUGUUC